rnacentral:rRNA from 1 species
GCGGCGGACGGCUGAGUAACGCGUGGGAACAUACCCCAAAGUGAGGGAUAAGCAUCGGAAACGGUGUCUAAUACCGCAUAUGAUCUUCGGAUUAAAGGAUUUAUCCGCUUUGGGAGUGGCCUGCGUACGAUUAGAUAGUUGGUGAGGUAAAGGCUCACCAAGUCGACGAUCGUUAACUGUUCUGAGAGGAUGAUCAGUCAGACUGGAACUGAGACACGGUCCAGACUCC